rnacentral:rRNA from 1 species
ACUAGAAGUCGCUGAGCUAACCCUUUCGGGAGGCAAGCGCCUACGGUAUGAUUAGUGAUUGGGGUGAAGUCGUAACAAGGUAGCAGUAGGUGAACCUGCAGAAGGAUCA